UUUCCAGUCCUGCUUACUGCAGGAAUUGUUGUGGGCGGGACUGAAAAUUUGACGGACCAGCAAAAGGUCCAUUGACUUCAGGCAUGAAUUUCUACUCCCACCUGACCAUAGGGACCAUAAGAAAACCUUCAAAUCAGCUGCAGUCAACUAAGCAGCCAAGGUAAUAAACAGAAAUAACUUGAAGUUGGGAGAAGGACUCUCCCCAACCUGUUCCAACUUCAAGUUCCCCUGAGUACCAACCUCCCGGAAAUUCAACAAGAAGCCUCACAACUUAGUGAGAAGGUCAACUAAAAGCAUCAACUCAACUAAGAAACUACAGCCUACCAUGAAAGAGAGACUGAGACAAAUGGAUAACAAAAAGGUUAUUUAUUUUAUAACUCCCAAAAAUGCUUGCUGCUGGGUUUCUUUAAGUUGGGACAACUGCUCUGAGGGUAAGAAAACACAGCCCCUCCCACAUACAAAACACUUUGAACAUGGACAGUAAGAAAACACGUACAUUCAUCUGUGGUGCUACCUUACGGGAAGAUCUGCAACUUUCAGCUGAGUUUGGUGAGCCUCCAAAGAUGCCAUGGAACUAUAACAACUGCUUUGUUUUGCCACCGUCAUGGUCAACAGAAAAAGACCACCGGUACUACAGAUCAUGUGGAUACUAUUUCACUCAUUCAAUAUUCCAUUGUUUAUUUUAUCAUUAAACAUUCAAAUGCAUUAGACAUAA